rnacentral:lncRNA from 1 species
GUGAGGGUGACAAAAGCUGGCAGCACGGUACCACUGAGAUGCGAAAUGGUGUUCCUGUGAAAACAAGAAUGCCAGCUGCCAAAGCACUUGUUUCUCAUGGAAAAGUUCCCAAGUUGCCCUGGAAUGGACAAGCCAAAAAAUGCCAGAUACAGAAAGUGUGACCCUGGGGCUGUGCAGAAGUGCAACAAAACUCUGCUUCAAACCUCCUCAAACUAAUGGCUUUUUUUCACAAUGUGCCAGAUGGAAACAAGCAACCCCUGAGGACCAGCAUGAAAGAAGUGUGCUUCAGUCUUCCUCCCUGCCAGAGCACAACCAAAGUAACACAACACAGGGGAAGAAAGGAUAUUUUUCUUUUUCCUAUUAUCUGUCAGCAGGGGAACAAAGGGAUAGCAGAAUGUUUGUUAUGUUUUUUCCUUCACUGACUAUUCAUGCACCUACUUGCACCUGCCUAUGUAGAAGCUAUUUCUUCUGUGGGUUUUCUGUGACCAGCCUUCCCCAAAAGAACACCUCAGCUGGCACCGUGGCUCCAAGCUGCUGCUAGUCGGACAGUUUGCUGGAGCACAAGGAAUUUUGUUUUCUCUGGGGCACGUUAAGGCAACAUGGAGGUUUUUGCAUGUUCUCACAGUAUCCUGAAAGCUUCUCAGAAUAGGAAGGGAUAAAAAGAGAAAAUGAUCCAUAUUUAAUAUAUUGAAUCGGGAGUUUAAUUUCAACAUGUAACUAGCAUUUAACAGGUGAGAGGCUCUGAAAGACCGCCCACAAAAACCUCAGGAAGUGAUUGGUGUUAUCAGUUGCAUGUAGGAAGAUGAAAAGACCUCCAAAUUUUAUCGAAGCUGGAUAUAUACCUCAUGCAUAUCCACAUUUCAUCCUGCAGAAAUAGAGGGACUCAACCACAAACAAUGGAUCACUCUCCUGUUUUUAACUCUGCUGAAUUCAGAAAUUAAGAAAAUAAAAAAAUUGUGUCUAUACCA